rnacentral:rRNA from 1 species
AACGAACGCUGGCGGCAUGCCUAACACAUGCAAGUCGAACGAGACCUUCGGGUCUAGUGGCGCACGGGUGCGUAACGCGUGGGAACCUGCCCUUAGGUUCGGAAUAACUCCCCGAAAGGGGUGCUAAUACCGGAUAAUGUCUUCGGACCAAAGAUUUAUCGCCUUUGGAUGGGCCCGCGUUGGAUUAGCUAGUUGGUAGGGUAAAAGCCUACCAAGGCGACGAUCCAUAGCUGGUCUGAGAGGAUGAUCAGCCACACUGGGACUGAGACACGGCCCAGACUCCUACGGGAGGGAGGAAUGGGGGAUAUUGGAACAUGGGGGGAAGGCUGAUCCAGCAAUGCCGGGUGAAUGAUGAAAGCCUUAGGGUUGUAAAGCUCUUUUACCCGGGAUGAUAAUGACAGUACCGGGAGAAUAAGCUCCGGCUAACUCCGUG